rnacentral:rRNA from 1 species
AUACGUAGGGGGCGAGCGUUGUCCGGAAUGAUUGGGCGUAAAGGGCGCGUAGGCGGCGCGGUAAGUCUGGAGUGAAAGUCCUGCUUUCAAGGUGGGAAUUGCUUUGGAUACUGCCGCGCUUGAGUGCAGGCGAGGGUAUCGGAAUUCCCGGUGUAGCGGUGAAAUGCGUAGAGAUCGGGAGGAACACCAGUGGCGAAGGCGGCUAUCUGGACAGUAACUGACGCUGAGGCGCGAAAGCGUGGGGAGCAAACAGGAUUAGAUACCCUGGUAGCCCACGCCGUAAACGAUGAAUACUAGGUGUAGGGGGUAUCGACUCCCUCUGUACCGCAGUUAACACAAUAAGUAUUCCGCCUGGGGAGUACGGCCGCAAGGUUGCUACUUAAAGGAAUUGACGGGG